rnacentral:rRNA from 1 species
GACGAACGCUGGCGGCGUGCUUAACACAUGCAAGUCGAACGGAAAGGCCCUGCUUUUGUGGGGUGCUCGAGUGGCGAACGGGUGAGUAACACGUGAGUAACCUGCCCUUGACUUUGGGAUAACUUCAGGAAACUGGGGCUAAUACCGGAUAGGAGCUCCUGCUGCAUGGUGGGGGUUGGAAAGUUUCGGCGGUUGGGGAUGGACUCGCGGCUUAUCAGCUUGUUGGUGGGGUAGUGGCUUACCAAGGCUUUGACGGGUAGCCAGCCUGAGAGGGUGACCGGCCACAUUGGGACUGAGGUACGGCCCAGACUCCUACGGGGGGCAGCAGUGGGGAAUAUUGCACAAUGGGCGGAAGCCUGAUGCAGCAACGCCGCGUGCGGGAUGACGGCCUUCGGGUUGUAAACCGCUUUCGCCUGUGACGAAGCGUGAGUGACGGUAAUGGGUAAAGAAGCACCGGCUAACUACGUG